UACGGGGGGAGCAAGCGUUGUUCGGAUUUACUGGGCGUAAAGGGCGCGUAGGCGGUCAGCACAAGUCAGUUGUGAAAUCUCCGGGCUUAACUCGGAAAGGUCAACUGAUACUGUGCGACUAGAGUGUUGCAGGGGAGACUGGAAUUCCUGGUGUAGCGGUGAAAUGCGCAGAUAUCAGGAGGAACACCGGUGGCGAAGGCGGGUCUCUGGGCAACAACUGACGCUGAGGAGCGAAAGCGUGGGGAGCGAACAGG
rnacentral:rRNA from 1 species